CGUUAUUAUAGCCUCACGGUUGGUUGUUUUUGUUAGUUAGUUCAGUGUUUCGUUCUUUAUUAAAGAAGAAUGUACGCAUACCACGCUGCGCCUUGGUCUCCUCCUUACAACGAUCGUGACAGCUAGUGUCAUGCAAAAACUGUCACACUUAGCAUUUUCAAGCCCUAACGCCAGGUUCGGCAAUUUACCUGUGUUACAUGUUACCUGUGAUUGAGUGCAUUCGGAAAGCAUUCAGACCCCUUCACUAUUUUUCCACAUUUACAGACUUAUUCUAAAAUGUAUUACAUUUUUUAAAAUCCUCAUCAAUGUACACACUAUACCCCAUAAUGACAAAGCAAAUAAAAAGCAGAAACAUAUUAUUUACAUUAGUAUUCAGACCCUUUGCUAUGAGACUCAAUAGAGCUCAGGUGCAUCCUGUUUCCAUUGAUCGUCCUUGAGAUGUUUCUACAACUUGAUUGGAGUCCACCUGUGGUAAAUUCAAUUGAUUGGACAUAAUUUGGAAAGGCACACACCUGUCUUUGUAAGGUCCCACAGUUGACAGUGCAGAGCCACCGAGACAUGAUUGUGUCGAGACACAGAUCUGGGGAAUGGUACAAAAAGAAAUGUCUGCAGAGAGCCACCAUCACCAUAGCAACCUGUCUGCCUGUCUACAGAAGGUCCACCAUCACCAUAGCAACCUGUCUGCCUGUCUACAGAGGUCCACCAUCACCAGAGCAACCUGUCUGCCUGUCUACAGAGGUCCACCAUCACCAUAGCAACCUGUCUGCCUGUCUACAGAGGUCCACCAUCACCAUAGCAACCUGUCUGCCUGUCUACAGAGGUCCACCAUCACCAUAGCAACCUGUCUGUCUGUCUACAGAAGGUCCCCAAGAACCAGUGUCUGAUAAUGGUAAGAUACUAAGACAAUGGUAAGAUACUAUUAUGAGAAGUGCAUUGGACAUAGAACUGGUGCUCUCCUGAUACAAAGGGGAAACAUGGGAAGCAGGUCUACAAAUCCAUUACUUUGAGUAGAAAUACCCUGAUAAAAUACAAGUAAAAUAGAGACUUAUCACAUGCUGGUUAAUUUCGGCUGUGGCUAGAUUUUAUUUCCCAGCCUGAACACAACUGAAGAAGUCUUGAACUCGAAAUUCUACCAAAGUAUUUGCUAUUAAAUUUGAAGGUUUUGUAAACCUAUCAGAUGCUUAAUAAUUUGAAUCAACUUAAACCUCAUCAGACUCGUCACUCUCUACCGCAAUCACCCACUUUACAAGGUGCAUGAGGUCUGAAGCCUCCCGCUCCUGGUGCCACAGAAUCACAGAUUUUAUCGGAUCAUACUCAUCGGAUCAUACAAUGCAGGUCCCGUGUUGAGCAUGCGUAAUACGUUCUCCGUGAUGGAGACUACGUGUCCCCGCCCGUCGUGAAACGACAGACGAGAACCUCGUAUUUAAAAGUUAGCUGUAACCCAUAACAACAGCUUUUGCGCUAAAUGUACCAUUGUCAGGUUUGUUUAAAUGAUCAAGGCACAAGGCGAGAACCAGAAGCAGACACAGGAGGCAGAUGGUUGGAGUCUUACAAUGUUUAGGAAGCUAUUAAUCCAAAGGGGUAGGUAAGAGAAUGGUCGUGGACAGGCAAAAAGGUCAAAACCAGUACAUAGACCAGGAGGUACAGAGUGGCAGACAGGCUCAUGGUCAAGGCAGGCAGAAUGGUCAGGCAGGCAGGUACAAAGUCCAGAAACAGGCAAGGGUCAAAAACCAGGAGGACUAGAAAGGGAGAAAAUGCAAAGCAGGAAAAAGGGAAAAACUGCUGGUUGACUUGGAAACAUACAAGACAAUCUAGCACAGAGAGACAGGAAACACAGGGAUAAAUACACUGGUACAGAGAAACAGGAAACACAGGGAUAAAUACACUGGUACAGAGAGACAGGAAACACAGGGAUAAAUACACUGGUACAGAGAGACGGGAAACACAGGGAUAAAUACACUGGUACAGAGAGACAGGAAACACAGGGAUAAAUACACUGGUACAGAGAGACAGGAAACACAGGGAUAAAUACACUGGUACAGAGAGACAGGAAACACAGGGAUAAAUACACUGGUACAGAGAGACAGGAAACACAGGGAUAAAUACACUG
rnacentral:lncRNA from 13 species